rnacentral:rRNA from 1 species
UACGGAGGGUGCAAGCAUUAAUCGGAUUUAUUGGGCGUAAAGGGCGCGUAGGCGGGGAUAAUAGUCAGAUGUGAAAUCCUGGGGCUCAACCUCAGAACUGCAUUUGAAACUGUAUCUCUAGAGGGUAGGAGGAGAAAACGGAAUUCCACAAGUAGCGGUGAAAUGCGUAGAUAUGUGGAAGAACACCGGUGGCGAAGGCGGUUUUCUAUCUUAUUCCUGACGCUGAGGCGCGAAAGCAAGGAGAUCAAACAGG